AUUGAACGCUGGCGGCAUGCUUUACACAUGCAAGUCGAACGGUAACAGGCCGCAAGGUGCUGACGAGUGGCGAACGGGUGAGUAAUGCAUCGGAACGUGCCCAGUCGUGGGGGAUAACGCAGCGAAAGCUGCGCUAAUACCGCAUACGAUCCAUGGAUGAAAGCGGGGGACCGUAAGGCCUCGCGCGAUUGGAGCGGCCGAUGUCAGAUUAGGUAGUUGGUGGGGUAAAGGCUCACCAAGCCAACGAUCUGUAGCUGGUCUGAGAGGACGACCAGCCACACUGGGACUGAGACACGGCCCAGACUCCUACGGGAGGCAGCAGUGGGGAAUUUUGGACAAUGGGCGCAAGCCUGAUCCAGCAAUGCCGCGUGCAGGAAGAAGGCCUUCGGGUUGUAAACUGCUUUCGUACGGAACGAAACGGUCCUGGUUAAUACCUGGGGCUAAUGACGGUACCGUAAGAAUAAGCACCGGCUAACUACGUGCCAGCCGCCGCAGUAA
rnacentral:rRNA from 1 species